CCUUUCUUGUUAUAUUCACAUACCUUUUCCCUUUUCUCUUUUCCUUUAUCUUUGGAGAGUGAGUUUUCAUAUCAUUAUAUAUAUAUAUCUUCAUAUUGAUAUAUAUAUAGAAAAGAUAAAUAAGAGAAGGAUGCCUGGUUUAGUGAAUGUGUUUUUAGAGGAGAUGAUGAAGUUGGGGAAGAAGGAGAAGAAGAAGAAUGAUACUUCAUUACAUGUUGAAGAAGAGAAAGAGAAGAUGGAUUUGUUUGUGAUGGCCGGAAAAGGAGAAGGAAAGAAGGAGAAAAGGGAAGAGAUCUCUGAAACUACUUUGGUUCUUCUUCUUGAUCGUUUUGCUCCAUGUUAACUAAGCUUGGUUUGGUGAUGUUUAUAUUGUUUAUAGGUUGUGGUUUUUUUUUUGUAUUAUAUAUUUCUUUUGUUUGGAGGGUUUAAUGUGUUGAGUUUUGUUGAUUUGGUUUUGAAUUAAGAGUGGAAGAAGAUGGAUUUGGUUGAA